rfam:Arabidopsis lyrata subsp. lyrata unplaced genomic scaffold ARALYscaffold_7, whole genome shotgun sequence.
ACAGUUUUCCUGCUUUUGAAUUCUUGCACUAGCUUCCAUUGAUAGAUAAUGGUUACAUUUUGGUGCUGCAACUCUUGUGGUAGCUAGUACAAGAGUUCAAAAGUAGUGAAGAUGU